CCAAUCGAACCUGGAGAUAGCUGGUUCUCUCCGAAAUAGCUUUAGGGCUAGCCUCAAGUGAUGAUUAUUGGAGGUAGAGCACUGUUUGGACGAGGGGCCCCUCUCGGGUUACCGAAUUCAGACAAACUCCGAAUGCCAAUUAAUUUAACUUGGGAGUCAGAACAUGGGUGAUAAGGUCCGUGUUCGAAAGGGAAACAGCCCAGACCACCAGCUAAGGUCCCAAAAUAUAUGUUAAGUGGAAAAGGAUGUGGCGUUGCCCAGACAACUAGGAUGUUGGCUUAGAAGCAGCCAUCAUUUAAAGAGUGCGUAAUAGCUCACUAGUCGAGUGACACUGCGCCGAAAAUGUACCGGGGCUAAACAUAUUACCGAAGCUGUGGAUUGUCCUUUGGACAAUGGUAGGAGAGCGUUCUAAGGGCGUUGAAGCAUGAUCGUAAGGACAUGUGGAGCGCUUAGAAGUGAGAAUGCCGGUGUGAGUAGCGAAAGACGGGUGAGAAUCCCGUCCACCGAUUGACUAAGGUUUCCAGAGGAAGGCUCGUCCGCUCUGGGUUAGUCGGGUCCUAAGCUGAGGCCGACAGGCGUAGGCGAUGGAUAACAGGUUGAUAUUCCUGUACCACCUAUAAUCGUUUUAAUCGAUGGGGGGACGCAGUAGGAUAGGCGAAGCGUGCGAUUGGAUUGCACGUCUAAGCAGUAAGGCUGAGUAUUAGGCAAAUCCGGUACUCGUUAAGGCUGAGCUGUGAUGGGGAGAAGACAUUGAGUCUUCGAGUCGUUGAUUUCACACUGCCGAGAAAAGCCUCUAGAUAGAAAAUAGGUGCCCGUACCGCAAACCGACACAGGUAGUCAAGAUGAGAAUUCUAAGGUGAGCGAGCGAACUCUCGUUAAGGAACUCGGCAAAAUGACCCCGUAACUUCGGGAGAAGGGGUGCUCUUUAGGGUUAACGCCCAGAAGAGCCGCAGUGAAUAGGCCCAAGCGACUGUUUAUCAAAAACACAGGUCUCUGCUAAACCGUAAGGUGAUGUAUAGGGGCUGACGCCUGCCCGGUGCUGGAAGGUUAAGAGGAGUGGUUAGCUUCUGCGAAGCUACGAAUCGAAGCCCCAGUAAACGGCGGCCGUAACUAUAACGGUCCUAAGGUAGCGAAAUUCCUUGUCGGGUAAGUUCCGACCCGCACGAAAGGCGUAACGAUUUGGGCACUGUCUCAACGAGAGACUCGGUGAAAUCAUAGUACCUGUGAAGAUGCAGGUUACCCGCGACAGGACGGAAAGACCCCGUGGAGCUUUACUGUAGCCUGAUAUUGAAAUUCGGCACAGCUUGUACAGGAUAGGUAGGAGCCUUUGAAACGUGAGCGCUAGCUUACGUGGAGGCGCUGGUGGGAUACUACCCUAGCUGUGUUGGCUUUCUAACCCGCACCACUUAUCGUGGUGGGAGACAGUGUCAAGCGGGCAGUUUGACUGGGGCGGUCGCCUCCUAAAAGGUAACGGAGGCGCUCAAAGGUUCCCUCAGAAUGGUUGGAAAUCAUUCAUAGAGUGUAAAGGCAUAAGGGAGCUUGACUGCGAGACCUACAAGUCGAGCAGGGUCGAAAGACGGACUUAGUGAUCCGGUGGUUCCGCAUGGAAGGGCCAUCGCUCAACGGAUAAAAGCUACCCCGGGGAUAACAGGCUUAUCUCCCCCAAGAGUUCACAUCGACGGGGAGGUUUGGCACCUCGAUGUCGGCUCAUCGCAUCCUGGGGCUGUAGUCGGUCCCAAGGGUUGGGCUGUUCGCCCAUUAAAGCGGUACGCGAGCUGGGUUCAGAACGUCGUGAGACAGUUCGGUCCCUAUCCGUCGUGGGCGUAGGAAAUUUGAGAGGAGCUGUCCUUAGUACGAGAGGACCGGGAUGGACAUACCUCUGGUGUACCAGUUGUCGUGCCAACGGCAUAGCUGGGUAGCUAUGUGUGGACGGGAUAAGUGCUGAAAGCAUCUAAGCAUGAAGCCCCCCUCAAGAUGAGAUUUCCCAACUUCGGUUAUAAGAUCCCUCAAAGAUGAUGAGGUUAAUAGGUUCGAGGUGGAAGCAUGGUGACAUGUGGAGCUGACGAAUACUAAUCGAUCGAAGACUUAAUCAA
rnacentral:rRNA from 1 species